UUGAGAAUGGGCGCCCCUCUUCUCUCUGCUCCGCCCCUGCCCGCCAUUUCGUGCUCCGGCGUCUUUCCUGGGCCGAUGUGCGCGGCCUCCGUGUGAUGGACGCCCGGAAGCCGGUAUAACGAAGUCCGUAGUGCUGAGGCUGCGCGGGCUGCAGGUUCUGCCGCUGCGCGCGGCGCCCGAAAACGGGGGAAAGUGGGCACCUGUGUCGCCUCCGGGAUGGGCCUGCGGGCCAGCCUCUGCGUGCACGGCCUGGCAUGCCUAGUGCUUGUGGAGGCUUGAAGAAGGCAUCAGAUCCCUUGGAACUGGAGUUACAGGUGCUGGGUAUCCCAAUCUGGGACCUCUAGUUGGCUGUGGUCCCCAUGUCACUCAGGCAUGGCAUCAAGCGCUGGGACCCAGAAGGAAGGCGGAAGAGGGGACCGGCCGGGAAAAGAUGGCUCGGAGACCGAAGGAAGCAUACACCUACAGAUUAGAGGAAUUGACAGAUUUGUGGACUGAUUUUUUCCCCCUAAGACAGGAUUUCUCUGUGUAACUUUGAAGCCUGUCCUGGUACUCACUCUGUAGCCCAAGCUGGUCUUGAAUUCACAGAGAUCCCACCUGCAUCUGCCUCCCGAGUGCUGGGAUUAAAGGCGUGUGCUACCAGUGCCUGGCGAAUUUUUGGUUUUCCAACAGUCUUCUGUAGUCAGUCAAUGCUGGCUUCAAGGAUGGUCCUGAACUCCUUCCUAGUCUUCCUGUCUCUACCUCCUAAAUUCUGGGAUCACAGG